rnacentral:rRNA from 1 species
AACGCUGUAGCAAUACAGAGUGGCAGACGGGUGAGUAACGCGUGGGAACCUUCCCAAUGGUGCGGAAUAGUCCAGGGAAACUUGGGGUAAUACCGCAUAAGCCCUUAGGGGGAAAGAUUUAUCGCCAUUGGAUGGGCCCGCGUCGGAUUAGCUAGUUGGUGAGGUAAUGGCUCACCAAGGCAACGAUCCGUAGCUGGUUUGAGAGAAUGACCAGCCACACUGGGACUGAGACACGGCCCAGACUCCUACGGGAGGCAGCAGUGGGGAAUCUUGGACAAUGGGCGCAAGCCUGAUCCAGCCAUGCCGCGUGAGUGACGAAGGCCUUAGGGUUGUAAAGCUCUUUUGCCGGGGACGAUAAUGACGGUACCCGGAGAAUAAGUCCCGGCUAACUUCGUGCCAGCAGCCGCGGUAAUACGAAGGGGACUAGCGUUGUUCGGAAUUACUGGGCGUAAAGCGCACGUAGGCGGAUUUGUAAGUCAGGGGUGAAAUCCCGGGGCUCAACCUCGGAACUGCCUUUGAUACUGCAAAUCUCGAGUCCGAUAGAGGUGGGGUGGAAUUCCUAGUGUAGAGGUGAAAAUUCGUAGAUUUUAGGAAGAACACCGGUGGCGAAGGCGGCCCACUGGAUCGGUACUGACGCUAAGGUGCGAAAGCGUGGGGGAGCAAACAGGAUUAAAUACCCUGGUAGUCCACGCCGUAAACGAUGGAUGCUAGCCGUCGGCAAGCUUGCUUGUCGGUGGCGCACCUAACGCAUUAAGCA